rnacentral:rRNA from 1 species
UACAAUGGAGAGUUUGAUCCUGGCUCAGGACGAACGCUGGCGGCGUGCUUUAUACAUGCAAGUCAAGGAGAACGUUUUCUUCGGAAAACAAGUAAACUGGCGAACGGGUUAGUAACGCGUAGGUAACCUGCCCUAGUGACUGGGAUAACUCUGUGAAAACGGGGCUAAUACCGGAUAAUAUCUACUUUCUCUGGAAUUUAGAUCAAAGUAGGCUUCGGCUUACACAUUAGGAUGGGCCUGCGUCUGAUUAGCUUGUUGGUAAGGUAAUGGCUUACCAAGGCUACGAUCAGUAGGUGGUUCGAGAGGAUGAUCACCAACACUGGGACUGAGAUACGGCCCAGACUUCUACGGGAGGCAGCAGUAAGGAAUUUUGCGCAAUGGCCGAAAGGUUGACGCAGCAACGCCGCGUGAUUGAAGAAGGUUUUAGGACUGUAAAGAUCUGUCAUAAGGGAAGAAUUGUAUUUAUUCUAACAAAUUAUUUACUUGACGGUACCUUAUAAGAAAGCUCCGGCUAACUUCGUGCCAGCAGCCGCGGUAAUACGAGGGGAGCAAGCGUUGUCCGGAUUUAUUGGGCGUAAAGAGUUCGUAGGCUGAUUUAUAAGUCGAAAUUGAAAUCCAAUGGCUUAACCAUUGACACGGUUUCGAUACUGUAAAUCUUGAAUUAUGCAGAGGUAAGUGGAAUUCCUGGUGUAGCGGUGAAAUGCGUAGAUAUCAGGAGGAACACCAAAGGCGAAGGCAACUUACUGGGCAUUAAUUGACGCUGAGGAACGAAAGCGUGGGUAGCAAACAGGAUUAGAGACCCUGGUAGUCCACGCCGUAAACGAUGAGUACUUGGUGG